CUGCCUUUUGGAUCGGGAUAACAUCGCGAAAGUGGUGCUAAUACCGAAUAAUAUCUACGGAUCAAAGGGGGCGUUUGCUCUCACCAGAAGAGGAGCUUGCGGCCCAUUAGCUUGUUGGUGAGGUAAUGGCUCACCAAGGCUGCGAUGGGUAGCCGGCCUGAGAGGGUGUACGGUCAUACUGGAACUGAGACACGGUCCAGACUCCUACGGGAGGCAGCAGUGGGGAAUAUUGGUCAAUGGGCGAAAGCCUGAACCAGCAAUGCCGUGUGGGUGAUGAAGCCUUUAGGAGUGUAAAACCCUUUUAUGAGGGAAGAAAGUGACAUGGCUAAUAACCAUGUUACGUGACGGUACCUCAUGAAUAAGCCCCGGCUAACUCCGUGCCAGCAGCCGCGGUAAUACGUAGGUGGCGAGCGUUGUCCGGAAUUACUGGGUGUAAAGGGCGUGUAGGCGGGAUUGUAAGUCAGAUGUGAAAUUCCAGGGCUUAACUCUGGAGGUGCAUCUGAAACUAUAAUUCUUGAGUGCUGGAGAGGAAAGCGGAAUUCCUAGUGUAGCGGUGAAAUGCGUAGAUAUUAGGAAGAACACCAGUGGCGAAGGCGGCUUUCUGGACAGUAACUGACGCUGAGGCGCGAAAGCGUGGGGAGCAAACAGGAUUAGAUACCCUGGUAGUCCACGCUGUAAACGAUGGAUACUAGGUGUAGGAGGUAUCGACCCCUUCUGUGCCGGAGUUAACACAAUAAGUAUCCCACCUGGGGAGUACGGCCGCAAGGCUGAAACUCAAAGGAAUUGACGGGGGCCCGCACAAGCAGUGGAGUAUGUGGUUUAAUUCGAAGCUACGCGAAGAACCUUACCAGGGCUUGACAUCCCUCGGAUAACAUAGAGAUAUGUUAGUCCUUCGGGACGAGGAGACAGGUGGUGCAUGGUUGUCGUCAGCUCGUGUCGUGAGAUGUUGGGUUAAGUCCCGCAACGAGCGCAACCCCUAUUGUUAGUUGCCAUCAUUAAGUUGGGCACUCUAACGAGACUGCCGGUGACAAAUCGGAGGAAGGUGGGGACGACGUCAAAUCAUCAUGCCCCUUAUGUCCUGGGCUACACACGUACUACAAUGGUCACUACAAAGGGAAGCAAUACCGCAAGGAGGAGCAAAUCCCCAAAGGUGACCUCAGUUCGGAUUGUGGGCUGAAACCCGCCCACAUGAAGUCGGAAUUGCUAGUAAUGGCAGGUCAGCAUCCUGUCGUGAAUACGUUCCCGGGCAUUGUACACACCGCCCGUCACACCAUGAGAGU
rnacentral:rRNA from 1 species